UUGUCAUUUUGAUAAUCGAUAUUUGAUAUUUUAUUGUCAACACAAUUGGUGCAAAAUUUGGCCAUUUGUCAACCGUUUUUUCGGUAUAUAAACGUGCCUAAAGUCUGUAUAUGUUAUGAGUUCUUACUGGAGUUUGGUUGUUGCCAAUUCAAACUAAGACUAAAUCCAAUUCAAGCCAACCGAACAACAUGCCACGAGCUCUGCUGUAUUCUCUGGCUUUAAUCGCCUGUCUGCUGGCAAUUCUACCAAUCAGCGAGAGCUUAGUGCUUUCCAGUGCUAAUGCAGUUUUAGUGGCUUGUCCAGCGAAUCAGUUUGCAUAUGAGAGCAAUCAGAGGGCAACUGGGACUUUGUUGAUGUCUCGGUUAAGUCCCAGUUGCGGCACAUGUUGAAAGCAUUGUUAUCUAUGCAUUGUUGUUGGUUAUGUUUGUUAUUGUUUUAAUAAAAAAGAUUUGUUUUAAAUUA